rnacentral:rRNA from 1 species
UACGUAGGGUGCGAGCGUUAAUCGGAAUUACUGGGCGUAAAGCGUGCGCAGGCGGUUUUGUAAGUCUGUCGUGAAAGCCCCGGGCUCAACCUGGGAAUUGCGAUGGAGACUGCAAGGCUUGAAUCUGGCAGAGGGGGGUAGAAUUCCGCGUGUAGCAGUGAAAUGCGUAGAGAUGUGGAGGAACACCGAUGGCGAAGGCAGCCCCCUGGGUCAAGAUUGACGCUCAUGCACGAAAGCGUGGGGAGCAAAUAGG